rnacentral:lncRNA from 1 species
GCAGCAAAUCCCAAGCCUUACAGCUGGGAAAGCUUCAGUCUGCCUGUGCAAGCUUAUAAAAGAAAGCUACACAAAGCAGGAGCAGGGUUUACACGCCAGCCAUCCUGGUUACAGUGUUUUGGGUAAUGAACUGUCUUGGGCUAAUUCUGCCGUUGUUCCAACAGCGGGACACACACACACACACACUUUACAUACGCACACACUUUACACAUAUACACACUUUACACACACAUUUUAUACACAUACACUUUACACACACACACACACACACACACACACACACACACACACACUCCAUACCCAUGCUCCCUUUCAGCUUAGGCCAAGCACGAAAUUUCUUUUAAUUGCCUUUUCUCUCUGACAUUCAACCCUCAACUCCUAACACUGUUGUCCUUAAAAGUUUCCUCCUGCUUUAUUUACUUACACCUUGGCCUCUUUGAAGGAUCCCAGCAAUGUUAGAGUCUCUGUGGGUGAAUGGUUAGUUAGCAGUCAAAGCCGCAGACACUGGCAUGGAGGUGGACGACUCUGGGUGGAGGGACCACAGUCUGAGGACAAAUGAGUCUCUUUCACAACCCAGUAAGACUUCUGUGGGCUGUUACGGUCUGCUGUUUUGGCCGGGCACUAGGGUUUCUGGAACUUUUAGAAAGAGUAAACAGGAACUAGUUUCCCAUCUCCAGAACCUCAAAACCUUCGGUCCCCAGCUCCGAAAAAAAAAAAAAAAAAA